rnacentral:rRNA from 1 species
GCGUGGGAACAUACCCUUUUCUACGGAAUAGNUCUGGGAAACUGGAAUUAAUACCGUAUACGCCCUACGGGGGAAAGAUUUAUCGGGGAAGGAUUGGCCCGCGUUGGAUUAGCUAGUUGGUGGGGUAAAGGCCUACCAAGGCGACGAUCCAUAGCUGGUCUGAGAGGAUGAUCAGCCACAUUGGGACUGAGACACGGCCCAAACUCCUACGGGAGGCAGCAGUGGGGAAUAUUGGACAAUGGGCGCAAGCCUGAUCCAGCCAUGCCGCGUGAGUGAUGAAGGCCUUAGGGUUGUAAAGCUCUUUCACCGAUGAAGAUAAUGACGGUAGUCGGAGAAGAAGCCCCGGCUAACUUCGUGCCAGCAGCCGCGGUAAUACGAAGGGGGCUAGCGUUGUUCGGAAUUACUGGGCGUAAAGCGCACGUAGGCGGAUAUUUAAGUCAGGGGUGAAAUCCCAGAGCUCAACUCUGGAACUGCCUUUGAUACUGGGUAUCUUGAGUAUGGAAGAGGUAAGUGGAAUUGCGAGUGUAGAGGUGAAAUUCGUAGAUAUUCGCAGGAACACCAGUGGCGAAGGCGGCUUACUGGUCCAUUACUGACGCUGAGGUGCGAAAGCGU